rnacentral:rRNA from 1 species
UGAGUAUAGUGGCGCACGGGUGAGUAAUACAUGGGAACGUAUCUUUUGGUUGGGAAUAACCACGGGAAACUGUGGCUAAUACCGAAUAAUCUCGAGAGAGUAAAGGAGGCCUCUAUUUAUAAGCUUUCGCCAAUAGAGCGGCCCAUGUCCCAUUAGCUAGUUGGUAAGGUAAUGGCUUACCAAGGCUACGAUGGGUAGCUGGUCUGAGAGGAUGAUCAGCCACACUGGAACUGAGACACGGUCCAGACUCC